rnacentral:rRNA from 1 species
GAUGAACGCUGGCGGCGUGCCUAAUACAUGCAAGUCGAGCGAACUGAUUAGAAGCUUGCUUCUAUGACGUUAGCGGCGGGCGGGUGAGUAACACGUGGGCAACCUGCCUGUAAGACUGGGAUAACUUCGGGAACCCGAAGCUAAUACCGGAUAGGAUCUUCUCCUUCAUGGGAGAUGAUUGAAAGAUGGUUUCGGCUAUCACUUACAGAUGGGCCCGCGGUGCAUUAGCUAGUUGGUGAGGUAACGGCUCACCAAGGCAACGAUGCAUAGCCGACCUGAGAGGGUGAUCGGCCACACUGGGACUGAGACACGGCCCAGACUCCUACGGGAGGCAGCAGUAGGGAAUCUUCCGCAAUGGACGAAAGUCUGACGGAGCAACGCCGCGUGAGUGAUGAAGGCUUUCGGGUCGUAAAACUCUGUUGUUAGGGAAGAACAAGUACAAGAGUAACUGCUUGUACCUUGACGGUACCUAACCAGAAAGCCACGGCUAACUACGUGCCAGCCGCCGCCGUAACAC